rnacentral:lncRNA from 1 species
UAUACCACUGUCCCAGGUUAGGGGAGGGUUGGGAUCCCGCUAACAUGUUUAACCCCGCCACAUUAUUUAUGUAUGUGCCUGUCCCAAGUCAGGAGCCUGUAAUUCAGUGGUUGUCGUUUGUUUAUGUGUUACAUAUUUGUUUUUCGUUCAUUUUUUUUUUACAUAAAUAAGGCCGUUAGUUUUCUCGUUUGAAUUGUUUUACAUUGUCUUAUCGGGGCCUUUUAUAGCUGACUAUGCGGUAUGGGCUUUGUUCAUUGUUGAAGGCCGUACGGUGACCUAUAGUUGUUAAUGUCUGUGUCAUUUUGGUCUUUUGUGGAUAGUUGUCUCAUUGGCAAUCAUACCACAUCUUCUUUUUUAUAUUAGAUUAAAAUACAUGUAGUUAGCGUCAAUAACAUUGAAACCUGGCUGUGA